CCUGGCCUUGACAUACUAGGAACUUUCCAGAGAUGGAUUGGUGCCUUCGGGAACUUAGAUACAGGUGCUGCAUGGCUGUCGUCAGCUCGUGUCGUGAGAUGUUGGGUUAAGUCCCGCAACGAGCGCAACCCUUUUCCUUAUUUGCCAGCGGGUUAAGCCGGGAACUUUAAGGAUACUGCCAGUGACAAACUGGAGGAAGGCGGGGACGACGUCAAGUCAUCAUGGCCCUUACGGCCAGGGCUACACACGUGCUACAAUGGUCGGUACAAAGGGUUGCUACCUCGCGAGAGGAUGCUAAUCUCAAAAAGCCGAUCGUAGUCCGGAUCGCAGUCUGCAACUCGACUGCGUGAAGUCGGAAUCGCUAGUAAUCGCGGAUCAGAAUGCCGCGGUGAAUACGUUCCCGGGCCUUGUACACACCGCCCGUCACACCAUGGGAGUUUGUUGCACCAGAAGUAGGUAGUCUAACCGCAAGGAGGACGCUUACCACGGUGUGGCCGAUGACUGGGGUGAAGUCGUAACAAGGUAAGCGUAGAUGA
rnacentral:rRNA from 1 species